UACGUAGGGUGCGAGCGUUGUCCGGAAUUACUGGGCGUAAAGAGCUCGUAGGUGGUUUGUCGCGUUGUUCGUGAAAACUCACAGCUUAACUGUGGGCGUGCGGGCGAUACGGGCAGACUGGAGUACUGCAGGGGAGACUGGAAUUCCUGGUGUAGCGGUGGAAUGCGCAGAUAUCAGGAGGAACACCGGUGACGAAGGCGGGUCUCUGGGCAGUAACUGACGCUGAGGAGCGAAAGCGUGGGGAGCGAACAGG
rnacentral:rRNA from 1 species